rnacentral:rRNA from 1 species
GGUGUCCCCUCCUCGGGGAGCAUGGUCCUCGGGCUAGGGGUAGAGGGAAGCGAACUAGAGGAGGAGUGGGAGAGCUAGGGGGUGGCCGCGAUGGUGGAGAGCAGGAAGGGCUUGGGGAGCUGGAGGGGCGCGGAUCUUGGUGCAUCGGAAGCAGCCGAUGGUCCGCCGGGCGUCGGCUCGGAGAGUGAGGGAGGAGCUAGAUCUAGCUCUCUUCGAGCUGGGGCUCAAGGACUAGCUCGGGGGAGGCGGCGGACAAGAGCAGGAGUAGUGCGGUACCGACGGCACGGAACGGGGGAGUCGGAGCGGUUCGAACAGCUCGGAGCGGUAACGAGCUCAGGCUCCCGGGACGGAGGGCACAGAGGAGGGCGGCGCAGCCGGACGCUUGCGGUGACUGCUGCUCGAGGUGGUCCUCGGGCCUCAGGGGACGGAGGAGAAGAGCUUGCGGGCACGUGCGACCAGGAGAGUCGGACACGGUCCACGAGGAAGGGACGCGAGCUUCAGUCGGCACUCGACUCGGCAGGCUCGAUGAGGAACGAGCUGGAGGACGGAGAGGGAGCAGACGUUCCCUCUACUCGCUGGCUUCGGAGCGCGGUUCGAGGGGACGUAGCGCGCUCAGCGGCUCGGGGACGGAGGAGCUGGUGAAGUUCAGGGACAGCGGCCGGAGGACGGAACGAAGAAAACCUGGUCGUUCUUGCAGCGGUUCUGGCGCUCAUGGAGAUGCACGUCUGAACGGUUCAUGGUGCUGCGGGCCUCGGGACCUAUGAAGUUCCAGCUGAUGUAGCGGCUCUUGCUGAUGCACUGCUGGGAGCUAUACCUUGACGUUUGCGGUUCAUGGGAAAGUUCAACUGUUCUGGCCGUUCGGGCUGCUGGGGCCUGUAGAUGCUUUUGCACAUGUUGAUGGCAGCGGCACAUGGUGAUGCGGGUUCAAGGUGAUGUUCUACAUGUUGAUGGUAGCGGUGCACUUGUUGAUGAAGGGUGCUGCUGGGCACUUGUUGAUGAAGGAGAUGUGACGAAGCUUGGACUUGGCGAGGCUUUUGCGUGCGAAGCUUCAAGCGAAGAGAGCAAUCGAAGCCAAAGCAAUGCCUCAACACUCCUAAGCAAGCUGAUGCAGGCAAACAGAAGAAGUACCUGAGCAAGAAGAAGGAACGCCCUAAAGUCAACGUCCACGGCUACUAUGGUCACGUCCACUACGUUGGCUCGAGUCUACCCUCGAGUUGCUUCUGGAACCAGCAACGAUACAAAGCAAAGUACAACUAGUCAUCACCUCGGGUCAACCCUGCUAGCCCCUAGAUCGUCAACCCAAUAGAAGAGAAGAAAACCGAAGCAGGCAUCAGCCUGAUAUACACACAUGAGACUUACUACAUACUAAAUAAUAUACAAGUAACACACUUCACCGCUAACAUUCGGUUG